GAUGCGGGUCCUGUACGAUGGAUUCGCUGUGAACCAGGUCAGGUGGGGAACCAAGCAGCCUUAAGCAGUGCGUUCGUGCGUUUCAGUAAGCCUGCAUCCGUA
rnacentral:SRP_RNA from 1 species